rnacentral:rRNA from 1 species
UACGUAGGUGGCAAGCGUUGUUCGGAAUUAUUGGGCGUAAAGCGCGCGCAGGUGGUUUAAUAAGUCUGAUGUAAAAGCCCACGGCUCAACCGGGGAAGGUCAUUGGAAACUGGGGAACUUGAGUGCAGAAGAGGAGAGUGGAAUUCCAUGUGUAGCGGUGAAAUGCGUAGAUAUAUGGAGGAACACCAGUGGCGAAAGCGGCUCUCUGGCUCGCAACUGACGCUGAGGCGCGAAAGCGUGGGGAGCAAACAGG